GAUGAACGCUGGCGGCGUGCCUAAUACAUGCAAGUCGAGCGAACAGACGAGGAGCUUGCUCCUCUGACGUUAGCGGCGGACGGGUGAGUAACACGUGGAUAACCUACCUAUAAGACUGGGAUAACUUCGGGAAACCGGAGCUAAUACCGGAUAAUAUAUUGAACCGCAUGGUUCAAUAGUUAAAGACGGUUUUGCUGUCACUUAUAGAUUGAUCCGCGCCGCAUUAGCUAGUUGGUAAGGUAACGGCUUACCAAGGCAACGAUGCGUAGCCGACCUGAGAGGGUGAUCGGCCACACUGGAACUGAGACACGGUACAGACUCCUACGGGAGGCAGCAGUAGGGAAGCUUCCGCAAUGGGCGAAAGCAUGACGGAGCAACGCCGCGUGAGUGAUGAAGGUCUUCGGAUCGUAAAACUCUGUUAUUAGGGAAGAAAAAAUGUGUAAGUAACUAUGCACGUCUUGACGGUACCUAAUCAGAAAGCCACGGCUAACUACGUG
rnacentral:rRNA from 1 species